rnacentral:tRNA from 1 species
GCCGAAGUAGCUCAGGGGUAGAGUACGUCCUUGGUAAGGACGGGGUCACGGGUUCAAUUCCCGUCUUCGGCU